GGCAGCGGGGAUAGCUUGCUAUCUGCCGGCGACCGGCGCACGGGUGCGGAACGCGUAUGGAACCUGCCCCUGUCAGGGGAAUAGCCCAGAGAAAUUUGGAUUAAUGCCCCAUGGUAACAUGAUAUCGCAUGAUAUUAUGUUUAAAGAUUUAUCGGACAGGGAUGGCCAUGCGUACCAUUAGCUGGUUGGUGAGGUAACGGCUUACCAAGGCAACGAUGGUUAGGGGCCCUGAGAGGGGGAUCCCCCACACUGGUACUGAGACACGGACCAGACUCCUACGGGAGGCAGCAGUGAGGAAUAUUGGACAAUGGUCGGGAGACUGAUCCAGCCAUGCCGCGUGCAGGAUGACUGCCCUAUGGGUUGUAAACUGCUUUUAUACGGGAAGAAACCUAUCUACGUGUAGAUAGCUGACGGUACCGUAAGAAUAAGGACCGGCUAACUCCGUGCCAGCAGCCGCGGUAAUACGGAGGGUCCGAGCGUUAUCCGGAAUCAUUGGGUUUAAAGGGUCCGUAGGCGGGCCUAUAAGUCAGGGGUGAAAGGCCACGGCUCAACCGUGGGACUGCCUUUGAUACUGUAGGUCUUGAGUCGUUGUGGGGUUGCCGGAACAUGUGGUGUAGCGGUGAAAUGCAUAGAUAUCACAUAGAACACCGAUCGCGAAGGCAGGUGACCAACAACGUACUGACGCUGAUGGACGAAAGCGUGGGUAGCGAACGGGAUUAGAUACCCCGGUAGUCCACGCCGCAAACGAUGGAUACUAGCUGUCGGGACCUCGGUCUCGGCGGCCAAGCGAAAGUGAUAAGUAUCCCACCUGGGGAGUACGUUCGCAA
rnacentral:rRNA from 1 species